rnacentral:rRNA from 1 species
GAUGAACGCUGGCGGCGUGCCUAAUACAUGCAAGUCGAGCGAACAGACGAGGAGCUUGCUCCUCUGACGUUAGCGGCGGACGGGUGAGUAACACGUGGAUAACCUACCUAUAAGACUGGGAUAACUUCGGGAAACCGGAGCUAAUACCGGAAAAUAUAUUGAACCGCAUGGGGCAAUAGUGAAAUACGGUUGUUGUGUCACUAAUAGAUGGAUCCGCGCUGCAUUAGCUAGUUGGUACGGUAACGGCUUACCAAGGCGGCGAUGCGUAGCCGCCCUGAGAGGGUGGUCGGCCACACUGGAGCUGAGACACGGCCCCGACUCCUGCGGGAGGCAGCAGUAGGGAAUCUUCCGCAAUGGGCGAGAGCCUGACGGAGCACCGCCGCGUGAGUGAUGAAGCUCUUCGGCUCGUAAAACUCUGUUAUUAGGGAAGAACAAAUGUGUAAGUACCUAUGCACGUCUUGACGGUACCUAAUCAGAAAGCCCCGGCUAACUACGUG